rnacentral:rRNA from 1 species
GACGAACGCUGGCGGCGUGCCUAACACAUGCAAGUCGAACGCAGUGGGGACGGGUGGGUAACACGUGGGUAACCUCGCAUCAGAGGGGAUAACACUUGGAAACAGGUGCUAAACCGAUAGUGAUGGCUAGACCCGCGGUGCAUUAGCUAGUUGGUGGGGGAACGGCUCACCAAGGCGACGAUGCAUAGCUGGUCUGAGAGGGUGACCGGCCACACUGGGACUGAGACACGGCCCAGACUCCUACGGGAGGCAGCAGUAGGGAAUCUUGGGCAAUGGACGAAAGUCUGACCGAGCAACGCCGCGUGAGUGAAGAAGGUUUUCGGAUCGUAAAACUCUGUUGUUAGAGAAGCGGUAUCUAACCAGAAAGCCACGGCUAACUACGUGCCAGCAGCCGCGGUAAUAC